CCAACUCAAUCUUUUGAAGUAUUUUCACUUUUUUUAAAAAAGUACUGUAUAACCUUUUCCAUUCUUUGAUUUUUGCUUUCAACCUCAAUUCAUAUAUUCCAAAUAUACCAAUAAAAUGCCCCCUUUGAACUACUAGUGGAAGUGGAAAAGUUUAUAACAAAAAUCACUUGCAAUAAAAUUCUAUAUUAAAUCCUUGUCUAAUGAAUUUAUUUUAUUUCUCCUACGUGAUUAAUUGUAAAUUGUUUAUAAAAUCGAAAUUAUAACUGUAAGUAACACACUGAUCUGAUCAUCACCAGUAUUAGAAAAAAAAGAUUAUAUACCUACUAAGCAAAAGAAGGAAUCAGAUUUCAAUCUUUAUGACAUGAAUCUUAUAUUAUAUUGGAGAAGUGAACUUUAGAUGUCAGAAAUCCAUAAUUUAAAGUAACUAGUAAUUAGAUGCAGGGUUUGAAUUUGUGGCAAAAGCAGUUCCUUCAACAAAAAGAAAUUGUUAUGCAAACAAGUAUACAUCACUAUCUCUCACUAAACGUUAAUCAAUGAAUAACAUCUCCAUAUAUAAAAGCUCCAAAGAGCAUACCUUCCGUGCAAGCUCGCAGGCUAUCUCCUCUCUCUCUCAUCUCAUUGUUGACAUGGAGAAGUUGAGUUUAGUGAGAGAAGGAGAGAGCAAACUGCCUCCUGGAUUCCGAUUUCAACCCACGGAUGAAGAGAUCGUCUUCCAAUAUUUGUCGCAUAAAACAUUUAAUCAUCCCAUGCCUGCUCUACUGAUCCCUGAACUCGACGUCUUCACUUAUGAUCCAAGGGAGCUUCCAGUUGGCGGUGUCGCAGAAGAGAGUUUUGGUGGCGACAAUGGCUUCCGUCGCUCGCCGUCGCCGUAGUUGUAGCUUCGUUCGUCGUCGGCGCGGCGCUCAGGACCUGAGUUUUUAUUUUCCUUUCUAGGCUAUGGCGGAGUGUGUAUGUAAUAUAUAUUGAUUUGCGGUGUUUGGGGGUUUGGAUCAGUUGAAUUGCUGUGUUUGGGGUUUUUGAAAUUCUUUUUCGGUUUGUAAUAUUCAUUCGACAUUUUUAUGUGUGACUUCUAACAGUGUGUAUCACACUAUUAGAUAUUCAUACUGUGCAUUUGAUGUUAA